UCUCCCCCCUCGCCCCAAACACACAGCUCAGGAUGCUUACGUGUUUGUCACCCCCUGGGUCCCAGCUGCUCCCUCCCUAUAGGCCUGUCUCCCACCAUUUUCCUCUGGCCUCCCUCUUGUUUUCCUUGCACAAAACUCAAUUUGCAUCUUGAUGGAGAGGAAUAAUUAGAACCCUCCAGCAUGAAUAAUUCUAGGCAAAUUAAUUUUUAUGCCAAUCAGGGAAAAUUAAUUGGCUUCAUGUUUUAUAUUUUCCAGGCGGCUCCCCGGGCGGAGGCCCCACCUCUUCGCAGCCCCAGGUUCUUCUUCCCCAGCACUUUGGAGAAAAUUGCUUGUUAGUUUUUGUGUGUGUUUGUUUGUUUUCAAGGCUUCCACAGGCAGCAGAGCUACCCCUCCUUUCAAAUAAACGACCCAUUUAACAAGCAAGAUAAAGACCUCCUCAGAGCGCUACUGGCUGAGCAAAUCCACUGGGUCCUUUACAUCCCAAUGUCUUUUUAACCUUUUAUUUGCUUCUGUGGAAAACAAAAACACACAGAGAAGCACAUGACAGAUGAAAAGUAACAAUACCAUCAUCACACCUAAGAAAAUGAACACAUCUCUAAUACUGUACUUAUUUACAUCGUCUUAAUUAUCCCCAAAAUGUCUUUGAUGAAUGUAGAAGUUUUAGUUUGCCUCUUCUUAAAUUUCAUUAAAUGUGUACUGUAUGUACUCUUUUGUGUUUCUUUCACUCAUGAUUAUAUCUGGGUGUCUCACUCAUUGUUAUAUGUGACUGUAGUUAAUUUUUGUUCACUGCUAUGUUAAACUCCAUUUUAUGAAUAUGCAUAAGUUAUGUGUCUAGUCUUCUGCUCAUAGAUAAUUGAGUUGUCUUCCAUUCCUAAAUAAAGCCACUAUUGAGACUCUU